AAGAUUUAUACUAUGUCUUCUUUUAGAAAGUUUAUAGGUUUAGAUUUUACGUUUCUGUCUGUGAUCCAGUUUCAAUUAAUUUUUAUUUGUUAUAUACAAUAGGGGGUUUCAGAUUCUAAAUUCAUUCUUUUGCCUGCAGAUACCCAGCUUUCCCUGCACCAUUCGUUGAAUAGACUAUUCUUUCAAUGGAGUGUUGUUGGCACCCUUGUUGAAAACUGACUGUAAAUAUAAGGAGACUGAGGAUUAAGUCUUCUCUCUUUUUGGGGGAGCUCAUUAUCAAUGACUGGAAGUUGUAAGGGAAAACAUAUUGAUUCAUCCUGAGAAAACAUUUUUCUGAGAGUCAGCAUUGAAGAGGGUGACCACUGAAGAGGGUGAUCAUUGUUCGAGUGAGACGAGCCCCGUGUGGUACGGAGUCAGCAUCCCAGUCCUGGACACGGCACUGUGCUGUAUGAAAAUCACAGCUCCUCCCGGAAUGAGAAGUUGUGUUUUGAAUGAAUCAGUGAACAGCCAUUCCGAAAAAGGCCUCCUGAGUCUUCUGGAUCAAGGCUCGAUGAGUUUUCACUGGAGGGAAUUGAUCUUACAGAAGAUGGACUUAACUCAGGCCUCUUCAGAAUGGACAAAUGAACCUGGAGAAAGACAGUCAAAUCUGUGCAGACAUUGAAGUUCACGUGAACGUGCUGUAUCCCUGAGCCAAAGAUCGGACAAGUAGGCAGCACUUCUUGAGGACAGAGGAGUGGUUUUUAAGGUUCUCCAAGAAUGAAUCCCAGGGAACCGGGAUGGCCAGUUGUCAAACUGUGACUUUGCUCUUUGGACGGUGUGCCCACCAAAGGAGAGGAAAACAAGUCUAAACUUACUUUCCAGUUGAAAGUGGAAUGGAGAGUUAACGUUGGAAGACGGGAGAGUCUGUCCUGUGAUGAAGCGGUCUCCGAGCCACUUCCACUGGGACGUCACGUCACUGUCUGGGCCCCUUGCACAGCCUGUGCACAGGUGAUAAGCCAGAUGUGCCGAGCAGUCCUCCCGGACAGGGCAGUGUGUUGGAAAUGAGUUUGGGGAUUUGGUUUCAUUUCAUAGGUUUCUGAGGGCCUUGGCCUGGCACUUCGAGUGGGACCAUCCCUUGUCCCACAUACUCGUGCUCUGGGCCCGUGCAGACCUGACGUGGCCUCAGCCUGAGGCUCCGGGCCCGUGGUGAAGUGGAGAAUUUUAGUCCAGGGUCUGUGGAGGCUCUGACAAUUCUGGGUCGUGGGACAUUGUCCAGGAUGAUAAUAAUUCCUCCCCGAGUUUCAGAUUUCCUUGCCUGUGAGCCGGGGUAGUAAUAGUUUCUGAGAUGAUUGUAAUGAUUCAGUAAGGGGCGCAGAGUGCUGGCAGGUAGCUGGUGCUUAAGGAGCAGAAGUCGCAGUCACUCUGUCAGCCUCUCACUGUGUGCUCUGUGCUUUGAGAAGAUGUGUGUUUGGUGAAAGUCCUGCCCAAAUACUAGGGUCUAGAUGAAACGUUGUUCCUUCACUUUCCCUUUCUUUUGCUCCUUCCUUUCUCUGCGUCUCAUGUGUAGGGAGCAGAUUCCUCUGUUUCAGGGAAUACAGGCCUUUCUAGGAAAAGGACAGGAUGAACGUGGAUAGGUGGGGCCGGAGGGGGUCUGGAGCAUCUGCACAGCGCUGCUUCCCUGCAUUUCUGCAUCCGGUCCCAUCAGUGCACGAACGUUCCUAGGAGAGAAUUCAGCAGUGCAGCAUCCUCUCCGAGCUCUAUGAGUUGAUCGGCUUCCACUGCAAGUCCGUCUUCUUCAAGUGGGUGGCCCCCGUGCAGCGUGUGGCCCCCGGCAUCCCGGAGCCUGGCGGGAAGGCCUGCUACCGACUCCUUCUGCAGACGCUUCCUGGCUACAGUCUGUCACUGAUUCUGCAGGACUUCAACAAAGGUUUUGGAACUAAAACAUUGCUUCAGUCCGAUUAACCAUGCCUUGUUUGGGCCCUGCUCUCCUGUCUCAUCAGGGUGAAUUGUGAUUCGUGCAGAGCAGGACACAGCAGACUUUUUUCUGUCAAGGGCUUGGGAGUCAAUAUUUCAGGAUCUGCAAACCUCCUGAUCUCUGGUGCAGCUCCUCAGCUCUGCUGUUCAGACGCCAGAGCAGCCGGACCGUCCACACACCCACAGAGCUUUAUUCACAGCAGUGGCUGGGGCUGGAUUGGGUGUAUGAACUGCAGUUUGUCCCCACAGCCUCCUCACUAUUGACGCCUGUACCUGAGCGUGCAUUUGCGACAAUGGGUGAACCUACACUGACACGUCAUCACCAAGAGCCCAUACUUGACACUAGGAUUUACACUUGGUGGUGUGCACUUUGUGGGUUUGGACAGAUGUACAAUGACACGUUUCUACCAUCACAGCAUCAUACAGAGUAGUCUGUCUUAGUGACCCUAAAAAUGCUCCGUGCUGCACCUCAUUCAUUACUCCUUCCCCUCUAGCCUCUGACAGUAACUGAUCUUUUAGUCUCUGUGGUUUUGCCUUUCCCAGAACACCAUACAGUUGGAAUCAGACAGUUGCAGAACCUUCCCAGAUUGGCUUCUUUCACUUAGUAAUAUGCAUUUAAGGUUCCUCCAUGUCUUUCCAUCCCUUGAUAACUCAUUUCAUUUUAACAUCAUAAAUAGUCCAUUUUCUGCCUGGACCACAGUUUAUUUAUCCAUUCACCUACUGAAGAACAGCUUAGUUGUUUCUGAGUUCUGGUGAUUAUGAAUAAAGCUGCUAUUAACAUCUGUAUGCAGAUUUGUGUGUGGACGUAAUUUUCCAUUUUGUUCAGUAAACACCAAGGAGCACAGUUGCCAGAUCAUAUGGUAGGAGUACGUUUAGUUUUGUAAAAAAUUGCCAGACCGCCUUCCAAAGUAUCUGGGCCAUUUUUCAUUCCCACCAGUAAUGCAAGAGAAUUCCUGACGCUCCACAUCCUCACCAGCAUUUGGUGCUGUCAGUGUUCUGAGUUUUGGCAGUUCUGACAGGUGUGCAGUGAUACCUCGCUGUUUCAGUCUGCAGCCCCUUGAUGACAGAUGCUGUGGAGCAUGUUUCCAUAGAUUUCUUUGGCAUCUAGUUUCCUUCUAUGUUGAGGUGUGUGUUGAGGCAUUUUGCUCAUUUUUAAGCAGGUUAUUCAUUCUUCUUGUUGAGUUUAAAGAGAUUUUGGUGUAUUCUGGAUAUCAGCCCUUUAUCAAUGUGUCCCUGCCCUUCACCUGCAGCACCGGAGUUGUCCUUUGGGUCUCAGUGGAGUGUCAGCUCUUCAAAGAGGUUCCCUGUCUUCCCUCAGCCUAAAUACUGUCCUUGAAUUUUUCACUUUCAUUGACUCACUUUGUUGUUUUUAAAUAGCAUUUCCCAUAAUUUGUAAGUACAUUAAAAAAAAAGGCAAUGAUUGAACACUGCCUCCCCCACCAGGCUGUGUGCCCUGUGAGAGCAGAGACCCUGUCCCCACUCACCAUGUCCCAUGACAGCACAUGUCACAUGUCCAUGUAAAUGUGUGUAACGUGGGGCCAAACCUGAUGAGCAGCUAUGACGACAUGUGUUGGCUACCAUUCAUUGAAUAGAGUUUGUUUCUUGAUCUUAAUUUUAAAUCACAUGAAUGAAACAUGUUUCUUUUGAAAAAUAAAACAACAAAGCACACCUCCA